rnacentral:rRNA from 1 species
GAUGAACGCUAGCGGCAGGCUUAAUACAUGCAAGUUGAGGGGCAGCAUGAUAUACGCGAGUAUAUUGAUGGCGACCGGCGGACGGGUGAGUAAUAGGUAGGAGACCUACCUCAUACAGGGGGAUAGCAUAGAGAAAUCUGUGGUAAUACCCCAUGAGGUUAUAUGAAUAGAGGCAUAUAAUCAAAGCAUAAGCGAUUAUGCGGUAUGAGAGGGGCCUACUGACCAUUAGCUAGUUGGUGAGGUAAGGGCUCACCAAGGCGAAGAUGGUUAGGGGUUUUGAGAGAGAGACCCCCCACAUUGGAACUGAGAGACGGUCCAGACUCCUACGGGAGGCAGCAGUAGGGAAUAUUGGGCAAUGGGCGAAAGCCUGACCCAGCCAUGCCGCGUGAAGGAGACGGCCUUAUGGGUUGUAAACUUCUUUACUACGCGAAUAGAGGUUAGUACGAGAUACUAAUAGGAAGGUAGUGUAGUAAAAGCACCGGCUAACU